rnacentral:rRNA from 1 species
GAUGAACGCUGGCGGCGUGCCUAAUACAUGCAAGUCGAGCGAACAGACGAGGAGCUUGCUCCUCUGACGUUAGCGGCGGACGGGUGAGUAACACGUGGAUAACCUACCUAUAAGACUGGGAUAACUUCGGGAAACCGGAGCUAAUACCGGAUAAUAUAUUGAACCGCAUGGUUCAAUAGUGAAAGACGGUUUUGCUGUCACUUAUAGAUGGAUCCGCGCCGCAUUAGCUAGUUGGUAAGGUAACGGCUUACGAAGGCAACGAUGCGUAGCCGACCUCAUAGGGUGAUCGGCCACACUGGAACUGGGACACGGUCCAGGCUCCUACGGGAGGCAGCAGUAGGGAAUCUGCCGCAAUGGGCGAAAGCCUGACGGAGCAACGCCGCGUGAGUGAUGAAGGUCUUCGGAUCGUAAAACUCUGUUAUUAGGGAAGAACAAAUGUGGAAGUAAAUAUGCACGUCUUGACGGUACCUAAUCAGAAAGCCACGGCUAACUACGUG